rnacentral:rRNA from 1 species
UCGGGAAUUUUGGGCAAUGGGGGAAAGCCUGACCCAGCAACGCCGCGUGAAGGAUGAAGUAUUUCGGUAUGUAAACUUCGAAAGAAUAGGAAGAAUAAAUGACGGUACUAUUUAUAAGGUCCGGCUAACUACGUGCCAGCAGCCGCGGUAAUACGUAGGGACCAAGCGUUGUUCGGAUUUACUGGGCGUAAAGGGCGCGUAGGCGGCAAUUCAAGUCAUCUGUGAAAUCUCCGGGCUUAACUCGGAACGGUCAGAUGAUACUGCUUUGCUAGAGUGCAGAAGGGGCAAUCGGAAUUCUUGGUGUAGCGGUGAAAUGCGUAGAUAUCAAGAGGAACACCUGAGGUGAAGACGGGUUGCUGGGCUGACACUGACGCUGAGGCGCGAAAGCCAGGGGAGCAAA